rnacentral:misc_RNA from 1 species
AUAAAUAAAUAAAUAAAUAAAGGGGAUUUAAUUGCAAGCAGUUACCGCCACCAUUUACCAUUAACUACCCUUGGGAAGUGAUGUAAAAAGCAAUAGGUAUUAAGGGAUUUGGCUGAGAACAAAUUCUCUAACUAGAGAGAAACUAAUUCUCAAUUUUGUUUGCUCAAAUCAAUUGUCAAUAAUCAUAAUAAAAUAUGUAAAUAAGUAGAGAUUCUAAGCCCUAUUCAUAGAGUUCUGCGGCCCUAAUUAUAUGAGGAUUAAUAAUUCCAACCUAACUAGGAAUUACAUAUCAAAUAAAACUAUUUAUUAAAAUAAACUACUACUUGUAACUUUUCCUAAAUUAGUUAGUCCUAAUAUCUCUAGGAUUUCCUACAUCAUUUCCCCUUGGUUGAAAAAAAACUCAAUUCUGAAGAGUUGAACUGCAAGUAAGAAUCCAAAAGAGAAGGACCUAAAGUGCUAAACUCAUCUUCAAUAAUCCAAGUAGCAUAGGAAUCGUAUUGACUGUGCAACUUGACAAGAAAUCUUUGAAAACCACCAUGAGAGGAGGGAACGAACUCAUCAUCUAUCACAAUGUCAAUUGAAUCUCCCUGUUGAGGAAGGGAUGGCGACUUUGGCACAUAUUGACCUGCGGAAACACUAGAUGGCAAAGUAGGAAGCUUAAAAGUGCCUCGAUAAGGUGACAAAUCCUUCACAUUGAAAAUAGGACUUAUGUUCAUAUGAUUAGGCAAGUCAAGUAUAUAUAUGCAUUAGAUCCAAGUUUGUGCAAAAUAGAGAAUGGACCAAUGGCUCGAGCAUGUAGUUUCUUUAAGGAAUUCUUAGGGUAUCUUUCAAGACGAACACAAACCAAACACAAACCAUGACAUAAUCACCGACAUUAAAUUCUUUAUUUGUAUGAUGCAUAUUAGCAGCAAGUUUGUAAUUUUCAUGACUUAAAGCAAUCUUUCGCCUGAUCUUAGGAUGCAAAUCAUAAAUAUGUUAGGCAAAACAUUAAGCGGGUUGUGACAUACGAAAAAUUGAUGUAAAACCAAUAGGUAUUUUGGGGAUUGGGGGUGAGAACAAAUUCUCAAACUAGAGAGAAGCUAAUUCUCAAUUUUAUUUGCUCAAAUUAAUAGUCAAUAAUCAUAUUAAGCCAUUAGUGACAUAUGUAAGUAUAGAACCGAAGCAAGACACAACAAAUAAAAAAAGCCUACAAAAGGUGCUAUUGUGUGUGCAUGGUGAAUGUGCAUAGUGGACAAACAGUGCUUGUUGAUUGCAUUGGUCCUCUCCUCUUUCUCUCAUGGUUUAUACCCUUGGAGCAAUAAUUAAUUAUUUCUUCAUUACGAGGUACACUUGGACCAUGAAUUAAUGUAUAUGGUUUGUUUAUAUAAUGCGAUCAUAUGCUAGACUAGUAAUACAAGGCUUGGGGCAUGCGUUAUG